rnacentral:sRNA from 1 species
AGUGAGCGGGCCGCGGCCUUGGCUGAGAGGCCUUAACCCCGCCGGCCGCCGCGCCCUGCAUGCGAGUUGGGCCGCGGGCGGGGUUGGAGCCUACUCGGGGCGACGGCGAUGGACGCCUUAGAAGAAGAGAGCUUUGCGCUGUCUUUCACCUAAUCCAGGCAUGUUUUUCAGCUCCUCCACCUCUGAUGCAGAAUUUGAUGCUGUGGUUGGAUAUUUAGAGGACAUUAUCAUGG